rnacentral:rRNA from 1 species
UACGAAGGGAGCGAGCGUUGUUCGGAAUUACUGGGCGUAAAGGGCUCGUAGGUGGCCAACUAAGUCGGACGUGAAAUCCCUCAGCUUAACUGGGGAACUGCGUCCGAUACUGGAUGGCUCGAGUUUGGGAGAGGGAUGCGGAAUUCCAGGUGUAGCGGUGAAAUGCGCAGAUAUCGGGAAGAACACCCGUGGCGAAGGCGGCUCUCUGGGACGGUACUGACGCUGAGACGCGAAAAGCGUGGGGAGCGAACAGG